rnacentral:rRNA from 1 species
GACGAACGCUGGCGGCGUGCCUAAUACAUGCAAGUCGAACGCAGUUGCGAACGGGUGAGUAACGCGUAGGUAACUGCCUCAUAGCUGGGGAUAACUAUUGGAAACUCUAGCUAAUACCGCAUACUGUGAGGUGGCCUUGCGUUGUAUUAGCUGGUUGGUGAGGUAAAUGCGCACCAAGGCGACGAUACAUAGCCGACCUGAGAGGGUGAUCGGCCACACUGGGACUGGGUCCCGGCCCAGAAUCCUACGGGAGGCAGCAGGAGGGAAACUUGGGCAAUGGACGGAAGUCUUAGCGAGCAACGCCGCGGGAGUGAAGAAGGUUGUCGGGUCGUAAAGCUCUGUUGUUAGGGUAGCGGUAACUAACCAGAAAGGGACGGCUAACUACGUGCCAGCAGCCGCGGUAAUAC